rnacentral:rRNA from 1 species
AGUGAACGCUGGCGGUAGGCCUAACACAUGCAAGUCGAACGGCAGCACAGUAAGAGCUUGCUAUUACGGGUGGCGAGUGGAGGACGGGUGAGGAAUCCAUCGGAAUCUACUUUUUCGUGGGGGAUAACGUAGGGAAACUUACGCUAAUACCGCAUACGACCUACGGGUGAAAGCAGGGGAUCUUCGGACCUUGCGCGAUUGAAUGAGCCGAUGUCGCAUUAGCUAGUUGGCGGGGUAAAGGCCCACCCAGGCGACGAUCCUUAGCCGGUCUGAGAGGAUGAUCAGCCACACUGGGACUAGGAGACGGUCCAGGCUCCUACGGCAGAAAGCAGUGGGGAAUAUUGGACAAUGGUCGCAAGCCUGCUCCAGCCAUACCGCGUGUGUGAUGAAGGCCUUCGGGUUGUAAAGCCCUUUUGUUGGGAAAGAAAAGCAGCAGUUUAAUACCCCGCUGUUCUGACGGUACCCAAACAAUAAGCACCGGCUAAGUUCGUG